rnacentral:rRNA from 1 species
CAGUAGCCACGUAAUACGUAGGUGGCAAGCGUUGUCCGGAAUUAUUGGGCGUAAAGGGCUCGCAGGCGGUUUCUUAAGUCUGAUGUGAAAGCCCCCGGCUCAACCGGGGAGGGCCAUUGGAAACUGGGAAACUUGAGUGCAGAAGAGGAGAGUGGAAUUCCACGUGUAGCGGUGAAAUGCGUAGAGAUGUGGAGGAACACCAGUGGCGAAGGCGACCCUCUGGUCUGUAACUGACGCUGAGGAGACGAAAGCUAGAGGAGCAAAUGGGAUUAGAUACCCCCGUAGUCCCUGUCUCUUAUAC